GCGUAUCAGUUGUGAGAGGUGGUUGUGCGUGCGUGCGUGUGUGCGUGCGUGUGUGUGUGUGUGUGUGUGCUGUUCGUCCUUUACGAUCAUCGCUGUCAGCGCCUCACCCUCUCUCGCACAGCUCUGGGAAGAAGAGGAGCCGGUUAGUGGUGCACCGGUUAUUGCGCGGGGCUACUGCGAAACGCGUGCAAGGGAACGUCGUCGACAUCACGCGCGGUCAUCACGCCGGUAUCGCAGCGGGAGUCUUUGAAAAACCUCCCGCGAAGGGCUGUGCGCGUUGCCUCGUUCAGCAGUCGGCACGACGCAGAUAUCGCAGCAGCACCGGAGACUUCAACGAUAUUGAGGACAGCGAGCCAUGGCGGUGGUCCUGGCGGCCUGCUGCUGCCUGCUCGUUCUUCUGGGUCCCGGCUCGCUGGUCGAGGGCCAAGAGUCAGGCGAGGAGGCAUCUACGCUGUCAGAGACUUCCUCAGUGGAGAAAGAGUCGACUCCAGAUCGUGAGGAAGUGUCCACCCACGAAGCUCUUUCGCACCCGGAACUGUCCUCUGACCACGAGCCUGUUCCGGCCCAGGACGGAGCCACUGCGGCCGCUUUGCGCUCGGACCCGUGUGCAUCGAGCGCCGACAACUGCUCCGAGUGUCUGAGGCAUCCGGAGUGCGCAUGGUGUUCCCAGCAGAACUUCCCACGAGGUGUAGCGCGUUGCAACCCUGCCUCGGUGCUCCUGGACAGCGGCUGCAGCGAGGACGCCAUCGAGGACCCGAAGAGCCGCAUCGACGAAAUCACGCCCGUAGACAAGGCCGGGUCAGACGUGCAGCUCCAACCCGGAGAAGUUCACAUUACGCUACGACCAGGUUCGAAGCAGACGUUCACCGUUCGUUACCGCCAGGCGGAGGACUAUCCGGUGGACCUGUACUACCUCAUGGACCUCACACAUUCCAUGAAGGAGCACAAGGAGAGGGUGGCUGAGCUCGCUGACGACCUGGUGCAGCACAUGCUGAACGUGACCAAGAACUUCCGCCUCGGUUUCGGCUCCUUCAUCGACAAGGUGGUGCUACCGUACGUCGACACCACGCCCGCCAGACUGCAGAACCCUUGCCACGACACCGAGUGCGACCCACCUUACGGCUUCCACCACCAGCUGGCGCUCACGUCAAACAGUAGCCUCUUCACCGAGAAGGUGUCCUCUGCCGGCCUGUCCGGCAACCUGGACAACGCAGAGGGCGGCUUCGACGCCAUCAUGCAGGCUGUCGUGUGCAAGGAGGCCAUUGGCUGGAGCCAGAGGUCCAGGAAGAUCCUUCUGUUUGCCACGGACUCCAUCUUCCAUUCGGCCGGCGAUGGACUGCUCGGAGGCGCCGUCAAGCGUAACGACGAGCAGUGCCACUUGGACGAGGACGGCUUCUACUCGGAGAGUAAGGAACAGGACUACCCUUCCCUGAGCCAGAUCGUGCGCGUGGUGCAGCAGAACAAGAUCAACCUGAUCUUCGCGGUUCCCGAGAAGGCGUUCGGCGUUUACGACAAACUCAGCUCGUUCAUCGACGGAUCCUCCGUGGGCACGCUCGCCGGCGACUCCUCGAACAUCGUCCAGCUCGUCCGGGACCAGUACUACAAAAUUCGCUCCGAAGUGGUCCUCCAGGACAACGCUCCCGACUUUCUCAAGGUCAGCUACAAGAGCAGCUGCCUGCGCGGGUCCAGUUCCAGGGGCCUGAGCAAUGCCUGCGACGGCAUUAAAGUCGGCGACGAGAUCGAGUUCCAGGUGACCGUGGAGCUGGAGCAGUGUCCCAGCGAUGGUGUCCAGGGUGGCCAGAGCACGGCGUUCCGCAUCUCCCCCGUGGGAGUGAACGAGUACGUGCAGGUGCGCGUGGAGCCCAUCUGCCGCUGCGCCUGCCAGGACGUCGUGGAGGCGAACAGCAGCGCGUGCAGAGGCCGCGGCAGCGCCGUGUGCGGCGCCUGCGAGUGCGAGACCAGCUUCUACGGCAAGCACUGCGAGUGCCUGGGCAGCGAAUUGGAGCAGCACACGGCACUCUGCCGCAGUGACAAUUCAAGCUCCGAGGUGUGUUCACACCGCGGCGACUGCGUCUGUGGCGAGUGCAAGUGCUACGACCCGCCGGGCGUGCCCGGAGGUCGCGUGUUCGGCCAGUGGUGCGAGUGCGACACCUUCUCGUGCGAGCGCGACUCCGAGGGCCGCGUGUGCGGAGGACCCGACCGGGGCGUCUGCUGCGGCGGCGAGUGCCGCUGCCGGCCGGGAUGGCAGGGCUCGGCGUGCGGAUGCUCCACGGGCACCGAGACGUGCGUGGCGCCUCAGGACUCGGACAGCGGCCGCCUGUGCUCGGGACACGGGGAGUGCGUCUGCGGACGCUGCUUGUGCCACGCCGACGCCCGGGGACGCUUCGCCGGACCCUUCUGCCAGGACUGCGCGGCCUGCGUGGGCCGGUGUUCCGAGUUCCGCAGCUGCGUCCAGUGCGUCGUCUUCGAGUCCGGCGAAAUGAGCGAGGAAGAGUGCCGUUUCAACUGCAGCUCUCUCAACAUCCAACCCGUGGAUGUCGCCGAAGCCACUGAUCCCGAGGAGCGUAAGUGCAUCUUCAAGGACGACGACAGCUGCUCCUUCUCGUUCGUGUACUCGUACGACGAGCAGAACGAACUGGUCAUCAGGGCGCAGACCACCAAAGACUGCGGCCGUGAGGCGCUCACGUGGUACAUCGUGGGAGGCCUGGUGUGCGGCAUCGUGCUCGUCGGCCUGCUGGUCGUGUGCAUCGCUCGCUUCCUCGUCUAUCUCAGGGACCGCGUCGAAUACGAGAAGUUCGACAAGGAGAUCAAGAACACCCAGUGGGGCACGGACACGAACCCAAUCUUCAAGAAUGCCGUGUCGAACUUCCAGAAUCCAACGUACGAGUCCGGGCAGCGUGCAGUCGUCAGCUGACCGACGCGCUGGCCAUUGUGAUGACGUCAGAUGGAGCGUUCUGCAAUACGUGUUUAGAACCCAGCGACACAAUUUUUUUUUUCUGCUGAGUCUACAGUUCUCCACGAGAACUCUGACCGUGCCAUCUUUUAUACGGGCGUGCCGUGAUCGAGUUGUACGAAGAACCUGUGUUUUCGGCUCCAACGAUGCGGUAUGCUGCAGCAACAUGCAGUGUUUUUCUGGGCAUUGUCAAAUUCCGCCAUCUUGUUGAUAUCGCUAUCUUGUCUGCUUUGAUUGGUUCAGAAGGUCAUUACGCCUAGUAGCACGCAUUGUUGCCAUAACGGUGAAGAAACGCCUGCAACGUUAAGGCAACAUUCACGACGUUCUGGCAACGUUGCGUCAACAGUUGGUAUUUCUAGCGCUUUUGUGAUUGGUCCAAAUGUCCGCCAUAUUGUAAUGACGGAACUUGACGAUCAUGCAGGACUGCUUCUUCCGCUGUACUUCGCGGACGUGGUCGCUCAUGCGACCAGUGCUUUUACGUACUUGGUUCUGUUCCUUUGCUGACGAGACUGCAAGCUGACUGCGCGAGAUAACUAGUGCACCGCCCAUUCACCAAUGUAUACGGGAGCCUUUAGACCCCGUAAGCUGUGAAUCCGUCCUCAGCACAGCCGUUAUCACUGCCGAUUUGUUUCUGUUCCUCCUUCACAUGCAUUUUGUAUUGAUGCCGACUUCGGAUAACUCGAUUUUCCUUUUAAUUCGGCCCUGUGUUAAAGUUCUAACUGGGAAGACGCUAACACUUCUUAAAAUAUUGGUAUUGAUUUGGAUGUCUGAUGUAAAUUUCGAACCACUUUCCAUGACUUCAACCUAGCGACGGCCGCUAGGUUGAAGUCGUAGAAAUUGGCAUAUGUGGUUAAUUCUUGCAUGUGGCAUAUGUCACCAAUAACACUGUCAACAGUAUAGUGAAACGAGGUGGUGUUUUUUACAGUGGCCACAAAAAUAAUCUCGCGCUCAAUGAACUUCAGAAAAUGUGCCUUUUAUGUUUUCUACGAAAUGGACGAAAUGGGGUGUUGUGCCAUAUGAUACAGAGGUGUACAAGUCGCUUUUCGAUUUUUUUUUUGUGUGUGUGGGUGUGAGUCGAAGAAGCGCAGUAUAAGCAGCGCACAUUUCACUUUGAGUUUUCUUAAUCAUAAUUCAGAAGGUAUGUUACAGUCGUCAGCGCUCAAAAGAAGCUCUCGCGGGUCCAUUGUUUUCAUUAUGAUUCCUUUAUCUUGCAAGAACCUUUUUUUUUUAUCUUAGCAACUUCGUAUUUAUCUUACCUUAGCAAUUUACUCUGGCUGCAUGCUGCGAUACUUUAGGUAGAACACGAUACACAAAUGUUGUUUGUUCCUAUUUUCUUAUGUGCAGUAUUGUUUUACAUCAUGUGCCAAAUUGUCCAUGAAUAAUGGAAGGCUGUGUAGAAAAAACAUGGGAGGUAGCCAGGAGAAGUGCACAAACAGAAGGCAGGUCGCCGCCACCGUGAAGUUUCUGCACCAUGCAGCUCACUGUAUAUAGCCAUAAUAUCCUGGA